CGGUGCCUGGCCGCAACGCCCCGCUCCCCGCCCGGCUCCCCAGCACCUCGCCCCAGGCGGGCCUGCGUGGGUGGCCGCCCGGGCCUGAGGCGCCGCGCUGACGGCCCUGGCCUCCUCGGCGGGCCUCCUUCCGCGGGUCCCGGCGGGCGGGCGGGCGGAGCUGCGGGUUGCGAUUAUCGUGGCGGGGACAAGCCCGGCCCUGUGUGAAGGCGGUUCCUUCGUCUGGGCAUCAGCAGGGCUUAUCCCCCUCGGCCGGCCGCGGCCCGCGGCGGGGCUGGAGCGGUGGCGCUGACGGCCGCAGCCUGCGGGCGCGGAGACCCCUCUGCGGUGGCUCUGUGUGGCGGUGAAGGAGAAACAUUAAUAUUAGGAAAUGGCAGAAGCAGUUUUUCAUCCCCCAAGAAGGAAAAGAAGAGUAUUUGAGUCAUAUGAGUCUCCCUUUCCUGUGGAUGUAGGUGGGAAGGAUUUCAGAAUAUGCCAGGCCGAAAUCAUUAACAACAAUGUUAUUGUGAGAAACCCUGAAGAUAUUGAACAGCUUUAUAACAAGGGUUAUUUUGGAAAAGGUAUCCUUUCAAGAAGUCGGCCAGUGUACAGCAUUUCAGAUCCUUCACUGGUUACUAAGUGGCAAGGUGCUAACAUAAACAUGCCCAUAAUUGCAUCCAAAAAGUACCAGUGUCACGUUCAGUGGGCUAAAAGUAUUUUGCAAGAGCAAGGAUUUGAUGACUGCUCGGUUACCAAAAUUCUUGAAAAUUACACUAAGCCUCUUGAGCUGCCAUUUUUGGAAGAGGAUGGAGCUGAACAAACCGGCAAUAGUUGCAACAGAAUGGGCCCAAAUACAGAAAAUACAGAACUUUCCAGACAAUCUUCUACAGCUAUUGGAAAUGUAGUAGCCCUAAGUCCUGAGAAUCAGAAUGAAGGCUACAAGAAAGCCUGUUUGGAAGGAGAUCCUGCAUUUGAUCCUGUGGCCAUACAUGGCUCCAAAGAACAAGAAGAAGGAGACUUGAAAGAGGUAGCUGAAGCGUCUUGCCAGAAGCAUGGUUUUCUCAUGCAUUGUGGCUGCAAGGAGAGCACUGAGCAAGGAUCUUGUGAGAUGAUCAAGUCAAAAGAGUGUGCUCCAGAAUAUGUAUUGGUGCAAGAGGAAGAGGAAGGUAGCUUAUGUCUUGAAGAUGCUGCUGCUCAUGCACAAGAAAAUGUUGUCAAGAAGGAAAAACUAGUAUGCAGAAGAAAUCCAUUUAGGAUUUUUGAAUAUUUACAACUCAGCUUGGAAGAGGCUUUUUUCUUGGUAUAUGCUCUGGGAUGUUUAAGUAUUUAUUAUGGUGAGGAGCCUCUAACUAUUUUGAAGCUAUGGGAAGUUUUCAGCGAAGUGAAGCCCAACUUUAAAACUACUUACAUGGCAUAUCACUACUUCCGCAGUAAGGGUUGGGUCCCCAAAGUUGGACUGAAGUAUGGAACUGAUCUCUUGCUGUAUCGAAAAGGCCCGCCCUUCUAUCAUGCAAGUUACUCUGUCAUUGCUGAAUUAGUUGAUGAUAAUUUUGAAGGUUCUCUUCGCAGACCACUCAGCUGGAAGUCCUUGUCUGGCUUGAACAGAACAACUGUUAAUGCUUCUAAGGAACUUAUGUUAUGCUAUUUGAUUAGACCGUCUGACAUGACUGAAAGAGAGAUGUCGACACCAGAAUGCAUGAAAAGAAUUAAGGUUCAGGAACUGAUUGUAUCUCGUUGGGUUGCUUCCCGUGAGCGCAGUGAGCAAGAUGAACUUUAACUGACUGUAUAGGAAAAACCUUUUUUUUUUUUUUCCAAACCACGCCUUGUUGUUUUUACCUGAUCUUCUCAUGAUGAACCGUUGCCUCAGAACAGUUUCUAUCAACAUAUUCAGUUGGGGACGGCUGAGCUCCCGGUUGCAGCGGAAGCACCGACGUUCUUCGAGAGCGGAGCGUCAGAUGCCGGAUGCCGCCGCAGCAGCGGAGGUGGCUCCGCGAUCGCUGUCACCGAACUCGGGUGAUCGGAGGGGGCGGCCCCGAGGUGGGCACACGGCCCAGAGGCAAGGUACGGGAGAGGGGCGGUUGGCUGCACGGCGGUUACCGCUGCUGUUGGUUAUCCCGACGUGAAGGUCGGAUUUCCCGUCGUAUGCU